UCGGGAAUUUUGGGCAAUGGGCGAAAGCCUGACCCAGCAACGCCGCGUGAGGGAUGAAGUAUUUCGGUAUGUAAACCUCGAAAGAAUGGGUAGAAUAAAUGACGGUACCAUUUAUAAGCUCCGGCUAACUACGUGCCAGCAGCCGCGGUAAUACGUAGGGAGCAAGCGUUGUUCGGAUUUACUGGGCGUAAAGGGCGCGUAGGCGGCGCGGUAAGUCACUUGUGAAAUCUCUGAGCUUAACUCAGAACGGCCAAGUGAUACUGCUGUGCUAGAGUGCGGAAGAGNCAACCGGAAUUCUUGGUGUAGCGGUGAAAUGCGUAGAUAUCAAGAGGAACACCUGAGGCGAAGGCGGGUUGCUGGGCCGACACUGACGCUGAUGCGCGAAAGCCAGGGGAGCAAACG
rnacentral:rRNA from 1 species